rnacentral:rRNA from 1 species
AGCGAACAUUGGCGGUAGGCUUAACACAUGCAAGUCGAGCGAGGCGUGAUAGUCGAGCGGCGAACGGGUGCGUAAUACAUGGGAAUCUACCCUGAAGUGGGGGAUAACGUUCAGAAAUGGACGCUAAUACCGCAUAAUCCACAUUGGGAAAGCGUUGCAGCGCUUUUGGAUGAGCCCAUGGCUGAUUAGCUAGUUGGUGAGGUAAUGGCUCACCAAGGCGACGAUCAGUAGCUGGUCUGAGAGGAUGACCAGCCACACUGGAACUGAGACACGGUCCAGACUCCUACGGGAGGCAGCAGUGGGGAAUCUUGCGCAAUGGGGGCAACCCUGACGCAGCCAUACCGCGUGAGUGAUGAAGGUCUUCGGAUUGUAAAGCUCUUUCGGCGGGGACGACGAUGACGGUACCCGCAAAAGAAGUCACGGCUAACUUCGUGCCAGCCGCCGCGGUAA